UUUUAUGCAGAUGAGUUCUUCUCUCCUUUUCCCUUCCAUUUCUCCUCAAAAUCUCGCCAUUUUUGAAGCUUCAGAAUCGUUGAGGAGCUUUAAUUCGGUUUGUUUCACGGGUUUCAAGCAUGGAAUUUGAGGUUUUGAUUUGAGAAAUUUGGAUAAAUUUAGGGCUUUUAUGAGCGUCUCUGAUAAAUCUAGGGUUCACACCACAAAACCCGCCUGACCCAUAUAUCUGAAUCUUCUGUAUCUCAACUCUCAGCUAAUCUUCUAGAUCCAUAUACUAAUUUCUCUUUUCUACUAGUCUAUGCAGGUAAGAAUCAUCAGAGAUGUACUAAGCAUUUGGGCGUGAUAUCGAAUUUUCUUGGCUUGCUCGAAAUAUGCAGGUAAGAAUCAUCAGAGAUGUACUUUUUGCCAUUUAUUAUACUCCCUCCAUUCCACAACUAUCACUCUUAUAUUUAGGGAUAAUCGUGAAAGAAAAUAUAUUCUUAAAAUUUGCAAAUUUUGCAAAUGGGACUCUUUUUGCGGAACAAGAGUAUAUUUUAUGAUCUUUGAUGCAUCUAUAAUGUUCCCCUUGAGCUGUUAUGGUUAACCUCUUACAGCCUAUCCGAAAUCAGAAAAUUCAUUGGAGAUCUCUGGAAGGUCUUCCUAACAG
rnacentral:lncRNA from 1 species